rnacentral:rRNA from 1 species
UACGUAGGGUGCAAGCGUUGUCCGGAAUUACUGGGCGUAAAGCGUGCGUAGACGGUUAUUUAAGUCGGGUGUGAAAGCCCCGGGCUCAACCUGGGAAUUGCAUUCGAGACUGAAUAGCUAGGGUACGGUAGAGGGAAGCGGAAUUUCCGGUGUAGCGGUGAAAUGCGUAGAUAUCGGAAGGAACAUCAGUGGCGAAAGCGGCUUCCUGGACCAGUACCGACGUUCAGGCACGAAAGCGUGGGGAGCAAACAGGA